UGACUGACCGAUAGUGAACCAGUACCGUGAGGGAAAGGCGAAAAGAACCUCGGCGAGGGGAGUGAAAAAGAACCUGAAACCGUGUACGUACAAGCAGUGGGAGCCUCUUAAUGGGGUGACUGCGUACCUUUUGUAUAAUGGGUCAGCGACUUAUAUUCUGUAGCAAGGUUAACCGAAUAGGGGAGCCGAAGGGAAACCGAGUCUUAACUGGGCGUUAAGUUGCAGGGUAUAGACCCGAAACCCGGUGAUCUAGCCAUGGGCAGGUUGAAGGUUGGGUAACACUAACUGGAGGACCGAACCGACUAAUGUUGAAAAAUUAGCGGAUGACUUGUGGCUGGGGGUGAAAGGCCAAUCAAACCGGGAGAUAGCUGGUUCUCCCCGAAAGCUAUUUAGGUAGCGCCUCGUGAAUUCAUCUCCGGGGGUAGAGCACUGUUUCGGCAAGGGGGUCAUCCCGACUUACCAACCCGAUGCAAACUGCGAAUACCGGAGAAUGUUAUCACGGGAGACACACGGCGGGUGCUAACGUCCGUCGUGAAGAGGGAAACAACCCAGACCGCCAGCUAAGGUCCCAAAGUCAUGGUUAAGUGGGAAACGAUGUGGGAAGGCCCAGACAGCCAGGAUGUUGGCUUAGAAGCAGCCAUCAUUUAAAGAAAGCGUAAUAGCUCACUGGUCGAGUCGGCCUGCGCGGAAGAUGUAACGGGGCUAAACCAUGCACCGAAGCUGCGGCAGCGACACUAUGUGUUGUUGGGUAGGGGAGCG
rnacentral:rRNA from 1 species